rnacentral:lncRNA from 1 species
CGUCUUCGUCAUCAUCCUCGUCCUCAUCGUCCUCAUCUUCAUCGUCAUCCUCUUCUUCACUCCCCACUUUAGCCAGUUUCGAUGCCUCUGUCUCAAUUCUACCGGCAAUUUGAGCAUUUUCAGAGGAAUGGAGGCAUUGAGCUUGCUGGUGCUGAGUCUGGGAUAUCUCCGUAGCCACCACUGAUGAUUGAUGAGCCCCAGCAGUUGCAACAUGGCCGCAACUAUUAUGAUAAGCACACAUCUCCCUGAAAAACAGGUGCUUAGAAUUCAACAAUUUCUUCACUUCUUCCUUCAUUUUGGGAGACAAAUCCAUGGAAUCAAGCAAGCUUUGAUUCUCCACCACUUUACAAGCUGUCCCUCUACCCAGUAUAUCAUUAACCCUCUUAUACCUCUUAUUCAAAUCAU